rnacentral:misc_RNA from 1 species
GAAAUGCGAUAAGUAAUGUGAAUUGCAGAAUUCCGUGAAUCAUCGAAUCUUUGAACGCACAUUGCGCCCUCUGGCAUUCCGGGGGGGCAUGCCUGUCCGAGCGUCAUUACGCACCCUCAAGCCCGGCUUGUGUGAUGGGCCCUGGCGUCUCGUUCGCGAGACGGGCCUGAAAGGCAGCGGCGGCGUCGACCCGAUGAGCCCGAGCGUAUGGGGACUUUUGUCACACGUUUGCGGUGCGGACCGGCGCCUGCUUGACUUUUCUGAUUAUCCAGGUUGACCUCGGAUCAGGUAGGGAUACCCGCUGAACUUAAGC